rnacentral:rRNA from 1 species
GACGUGGGGCGCGAGCGUUGGCCGGAUUUAUUGGGCGUAAAGAGCUCGUAGGCGGCUUGUCGCGUCGUCUGUGAAAUCCCGCGGCUCAACCGCGGGUCUGCAGUCGAUACGGGCAGGCUAGAGUUCGGUAGGGGAGACUGGAAUUCCUGGUGUAGCGGUGAAAUGCGCAGAUAUCAGGAGGAACACCGGUGGCGAAGGCGGGUCUCUGGGCCGAUACUGACGCUGAGGAGCGAAAGCGUGGGGAGCGAACAGG